GUGCAGUGCUUGUGGUUUCUGAACAGCUUACGCUAAAUCUGUACCAUGGAAAUAAUCUACUCUUAAAAUCCAGGAAACAAAUCAACUAUGUGAUUUUGUAGUCCAAGCUGAAGGAUGCUGAAGCUACAAGCGGAAAAGUGGCUGACCAGGCUGAAGUGGAACCCUCUGCGAUCUGGAGGGGGCCGGGUUGUGAAGUUCCUCCUUUAUAUUUAAAGAAACAACUCCAAAACAAGUUGAUCUCAGAUCAGAUCAAGUCAGGGUUAAAAAGGGUGAAUGUGGGUUUAAAUUAACGAGGAAUUCAGAGUAAUGCAUUGCUGUACCCCUUUAUAUAUAGACCACAACUGAAUGAUUUAAAUGUGAAAGUGAAGAGCUGAAAAGCAUCAUAUGUCCCCUUUGAUUAAACCGAUGUGUUUUGAAGUUAGAGUGGAGACUUAUUUAUUGAUAGGUAUCAUUUUAGUUGAAAUAUCAAAUUCUAUUAUGAUAGCAAAGCUCAAUCUUUGUAAAC